AUUGAACGCUGGCGGCAUGCUUUACACAUGCAAGUCGAACGAGCGGCGGACGGGUGAGUAAUGUAUGUGAAUCUGCCUAGUAGCGGGGGAUAACUACUAGAAACGGUAGCUAAUACCGCAUACCAUCGGAUGAACCCAAAUGGGAUUAGCUUGUUGGUGGGGUAAAGGCUCACCAAGGCCACGAUCCCUAGCUGGUCUGAGAGGAUGACCAGCCACACUGGGACUGAGACACGGCCCAGACUCCUACGGGAGGCAGCAGUGGGGAAUAUUGGACAAUGGGGGCAAGCCUGAUGCAGCCAUGCCGCGUGUAUGAAGAAGGCCUUCGGGUUGUAAAGUACUUUGGGUAGAGAGGCGUUAACUACAGAAGAAGCACCGGCUAACUACGUGCCAGCAGCCGCGGUAAUAC
rnacentral:rRNA from 1 species